rnacentral:rRNA from 1 species
UACAGAGGUCUCAAGCGUUGUUCGGAUUCAUUGGGCGUAAAGGGCGCGUAGGCGGCAAGGCAAGUCGGGUGUGAAGCUUGGGGCUUAACCCCGAAAGGGCCACUCGAACUGCGUGUACUAGAGGGCCGGAGAGGAGAUCGGAAUUCACGGGUGUAGCAGUGAAAUGCGUAGAGCUCGUGAGGAAGACCGGUGGCGAAGGCGGAUCUCUGGACGGCCCUGACGCUGAGGCGCGA